GACGAGCGCUGGCGGCGUGCUUAACACAUGCAAGUCGAACGAAGAGCGAUGGAAGCUUGCUUCUAUCAAUCUUAGUGGCGAACGGGUGAGUAACGCGUAAUCAACCUGCCCUUCAGAGGGGGACAACAGUUGGAAACGACUGCUAAUACCGCAUACGAUCUAAUCUCGGCAUCGAGGAUAGAUGAAAGGUGGCCUCUACAUGUAAGCUAUCACUGAAGGAGGGGAUUGCGUCUGAUUAGCUAGUUGGAGGGGUAACGGCCCACCAAGGCGAUGAUCAGUAGCCGGUCUGAGAGGAUGAACGGCCACAUUGGGACUGAGACACGGCCCAGACUCCUACGGGAGGCAGCAGUGGGGAAUCUUCCGCAAUGGACGAAAGUCUGACGGAGCAACGCCGCGUGAGUGAUGACGGCCUUCGGGUUGUAAAGCUCUGUUAAUCGGGACGAAAGGCCUUCUUGCGAAUA
rnacentral:rRNA from 1 species